rnacentral:misc_RNA from 1 species
AGGGCGUGUUUGCCACUACUGUACACCGCUGGCCGCAGCAUUUUUCUUUUGAAUGGCGUUUAUUUUUUAGGCGACGACCACAAGCCUGUUCCCUAGUCAUCGGUCGUACGCGCGACUCCUCGGAAGUUUGGCUAUAAUCAGCGCGCCCCUCUAGCAAAACAGUCGAGUCGGCACCAGAUGCGCCCGAGAGGCCCCGCGCCGACCUUCAACCUAUUCUCGCUAACCAAAAGUUGAAUACCUGCUCUGCAGCUGUUCGAUCAGCUACCUCGACAGAGUAGAGGUCGAUAAGCGCUCUUUCACGAUGAACUACCAGGUCAUGCGCAAGUCACGCACCCUACGCUUUCGUGCUAUCCGCAAAACCUGCUAUCUUCCAAGCGUAGCGGCUUGCGGACCAUCAAGGCAACUAUGCGCUGAAAUUCCGCCUCUUGUACCGUUGAACAACUUCCCUGAAUGCUUCGCGCCAUCGAGAAGCAUAUUCAUGUAUCGUGCGCCUGCAAGAAGCGGUUCCAACACUUCAUACCGACUCAGUGGGUCCUCGACCGCAAUCAAGUUCAGAUUUCCGGACACAGCGUCCGCCUACGCAUGAAAAACGGCCUCCAAGUCUGUUGUCGCGUGCUGUUUUUGAGGCAAUGAGGAACCGCGGAUGCAUUGCUCGUCCACUGAGCAGUCGCGUGCGCCAGUAUCGAGGACGCGUGCCGUUCUCGCAGCAAAAGAACCAGUCUGUCGGAGCGUCUCCUACUAUUCCACGAUACUCCAGCGGAAAAAGAGCGACUCUUCGCCCCUGUCGACGAAUUGGCGCCCCGGGCGACGCUUUACGCACUUCGAGCGCUCCAUGAGAGCAACCGUGAAUCCCAACUGUCCCAGUUUACGAUCAUCGCUGGCACGGUUCAAACCGCAGUGCCCCGCCAGUUAGCAAGUUAUGUCGUGAGAUAUUCGGAGGAACUAGCGCCCCGUGCUGUGCUGCUCCAGCAGUGCUCUGCGUGCAUUCUCGAGGAGUAUCUUCUGCUCAACGCUUGCGAUCUGUUUCCGCGUACUGAUCACAGCAUCAGGGUUGACACUCACGCUGUCAAUGCCACAGCGAACUAAAAACUCGGUUAAAUCCGGAUAUACUGAAGGAGCCUGCCCGCAGAUACUCACAGUGAUAUUGGCACGGUGGGCUUCCUCGAUGAGGAUGCGCAUCGCGGCCUUGACUGCCGGAUCGCGCUCAUCAAAGUAUCCCAAAGUGGCAAGCUUCGGGGAAUCUCGAUCCGCGCCCAGCAACAGCUGCGUUAGGUCGUUGCUACCGAUACUAAAUCCAUCACAGAGCUGAGCAAAAUCGCGCGCGAGCAGAACAACGCUGGGAACCUCCGCCAUGAGCAGAACUUUGAAGUCGGAAGCGCGCUGCAGUCCUUCAGAGCGCAUCAAGUCAAGCGCACGCUGCACCUCCCAGGUCGUUCGUGCAAAUGGUAACAUGGCCCAGACAUUUUUCAAACCCUGCUCAUCCCGAACCUGCUUCAUCGCUCGGCAUUCGAGGCGAAACCCGGCCUCGUACUCAGCGCUGACAUAGCGCGAGACGCCCCGCCAGCCGAGCAUCGGAUUAGAUUCAAGGAUCUCGUACCGUUCGCCGCCUUUCAGGGAGCGGUAUUCGUUGGUCUUGAAAUCACUAAAUCGGACAAUGACUGGCCUCGGAUAGGCAGCUUGUGCGACCAUGGAAAUACCUUCCGCGAGCUUCUCCACGAGCAUUUCUUCCUCCUUGUUCUCGAUAAUGUACAUGGGAUGGUGUCCAACCCAGCUGGCAAGGAUGAACUCGACCCGCAUGAGCCCAAUGCCGUCAAAUGGCAGGUGACGUAGAUCCUGCAUUUUCUCUGGUUCACCGAGGUUCAUGUAGACGCGAGUAGCCGUGAUCGGCAAUACCAUCGACGCGACUGCGUCAGCGGAUAUCCCUGCCUUGGGCGGUGUGUCCUCCUCGGCUUUGUGUACUCCGCGCAGUAUGACACCCAGCGUUCCGUCCACCGUCACGAUCUGGCCGCUUCGAAGAAUCUCGGUUGCUUUGCCGGUGCCAACCACACAUGGUAAGCCAAGUUCACGCGAGACAAUCGCGGCAUGCGCAGUCAUUCCGCCACUGUCGGUGACGAUGGCCGCCGCCUUUCUCAUCGCUGGCACCCAGUCCGGCGUUGUCAUUGAUGUGACAAGCACUUCACCUGGUUGGAACUCCGAUAUGUUCUGGACAUCAAGAAGGACUCGCACUUUCCCGUGUGCGCGCCCUGGCGAUGCUCCGAGGCCACGUACCAAAACCUCGCGACGCGAGGCUGCUUUCCUGUCUGACCAGACUGUUUCGGGACGCGCUUGAAGCACAUAGAGCUGGUUCUUUUCCUCAUCUAUGGCCCAUUCAAUGUCCAUUGGUAUUCCGUAAUGCUUUUCUAUGGUGAGUGCAGUUCGUAGGAGCUCCUGUAUCUGUGCAUCGGUGAGACACGGAGCCUCCACCAGGUCCGCUGGUACGGGUACCUCACGGGUCAGCGUGUCAGCGGAUGCUGCGUCGAUGCCCUGGACGCCGUCAGCGACUGCGGCUCGCACCAUCAUCAGCGGCUUUGAGGCAGUGUGGCGCUCGAGCACACGCCCGCUUGCCUUUUCGACCACGAAACGAUCCGGUCGAACCCUGCCCUGAACGACCAUCUCGCCGAGUCCCCAGCAGCACUCAAUAACGAUCAGAUCACGCUUGCCGGUAACCGGAUCCAGGGUGAAACAAACCCCCGAGACACGGCUCUGAACCAUUUGCAUCACACCCACACUCAGGCGCAUAUCCAGGUGCGGGUAGCCUUUCUCCUCCCGAUAUGCAAUGGCGCGAGGCGAGAACAACGAGCCGUAGCAUUUCUUGAUAUACUGGAGGAUCGCAUCGAUGCCGUGCACGCACAGAUACGUCUCUUGCUGGCCAGCAAAACUUGCCUCUGCAGAGUCCUCCGCAGUUGCGCUGCUGCGAACUGCAACCAGUGGCUCUUGCGCCCCAAGGGUUUUCACCAAGUUGCGGUACGCACUUCGAAUCAUCUGCUCUACGGGCGGUGGGUAUGCAGCAUCCUCCAACAACGCCAUUAUUGCCUUUGAGGCUUCCUCCAGCGAGCUGGGCGACUCUAAGUUCAGACCUUGAAGAA